AUAUCAAUAAGCGGAGGAAAAGAAACCAACAGGGAUUGCCCUAGUAACGGCGAGUGAAGCGGCAACAGCUCAAAUUUGAAAUCUGGCCCUAGCGGUCCGAGUUGUAAUUUGUAGAGGAUGCUUUUGGUGAGGUGCCUUCCGAGUUCCCUGGAACGGGACGCCGGAGAGGGUGAGAGCCCCGUACGGUUGGACGCCAAACCUCUAUAUAGCUCCUUCGACGAGUCGAGUAGUUUGGGAAUGCUGCUCUAAAUGGGAGGUAAAUUUCUUCUAAAGCUAAAUACCGGCCAGAGACCGAUAGCGCACAAGUAGAGUGAUCGAAAGAUGAAAAGCACUUUGAAAAGAGGGUUAAAUAGCACGUGAAAUUGUUGAAAGGGAAGCGUUUGCGACCAGACUUUUUCCAGGCGGAUCAUCCGGCGUUCUCGCCGGUGCACUCCGCCUGGUUGAGGCCAGCAUCGGUUUCCUUAGGGGGAUAAAGGCCUGGGGAACGUAGCUCCUUCGGGAGUGUUAUAGCCCCUGGCGUAAUACCCCUCGGGGACCGAGGAACGCGCUCUGCAAGGAUGCUGGCGUAAUGGUCGUCAACGACCCGUCUUGAAACACGGACCAAGGAGUCGAACAUUUGUGCGAGUGUUUGGGUGUCAAACCCUCACGCGUAAUGAAAGUGAACGGAGGUGAGAGCCCUUACGGGUGCAUCAUCGACCGAUCCUGAUGUCUUCGGAUGGAUUUGAGUAAGAGCAUAACUGUUCGGACCCGAAAGAUGGUGAACUAUGCGUGGAUAGGGUGAAGCCAGAGGAAACUCUGGUGGAGGCUCGCAGCGGUUCUGACGUGCAAAUCGAUCGUCAAAUCUGCGCAUGGGGGCGAAAGACUUAUCGAACCAUCUAGUAGCUGGUUACCGC
rnacentral:rRNA from 1 species